UCGUCAUUGAGAGACUACCUUUGGAAACAGAAAUACUGACCAAUGCCCUGUGAACAGUGUAUGGUGGUGAGUUUGACUGGGGCGGUCGCCUCCUAAAAAGUAACGGAGGUGUAUGCAAGGUAGAUUCACACUGGAACGCAACCAGGAUUGUGCAGGGAAUGCUGAAUAUCUGCUUGACUGUAAGAGAGGCAUCUCAAGCAGGGACGGAAGUCGAUCAUACUGAACCGGAGUUUUCUUGUGGAAGAGGCUUCGCUCAACGGAUCAAAGGUACCCCGGGGAUAACAGGCUAAUACUCCCCAAGAGCUCAAAUCGACGGGAGUGUUUGGCACCUCGAUG
rnacentral:rRNA from 1 species